AAUGCCCUGAUAUCACGCGUAACGAUGCAAUGCCUGUACUAUUCAAAUAAUCACAAGAGGACGUGACAAUAGAAUAGUGUCCAUCUCUUUAUUUCUAACGAGUAUAAAACGGGGAAAAUAUUAACUAUUCGGAAUUAAAAUUGUGGCGGUUAGGUCAAUAAUAAUGUAAUAAUUUUUCUCGGCGAAUACAAUGUGGAAUUCGAAUUAAACAUAUUACGACCCUAUUAAAAUACGAGUUCAUUGAAAAUACUCAAUUUUGUUAUUUGUGUUUCGUUAACACGUUU